UAUAUACCUCACCCUGGCAGAGAAAGGGUUAACAGGAGCUUGAGUGCUCAAUUAGCCCACCUGAUUGCACCUAGAGUGGCAUUAGGCACAGUUAGUUACCAGAUGCAGCUUGGAGCUCAGAGCAGUAGAAGGAGCGUAUCAGCAGGGAGGUGAGCUAGGGGAGAAGGGGUAUAGGAUUUCCUCUCUCAGAGAGAAGAUCCUGGGGGGAGUUAGUCCUGUAGUGGGAUUGAUACAUGGGCUAAGCUCCAGUGAGGCAAGUCUGUGGAUUGGUGAUCUAGAAGAGGAACAGACAGCUGGGAAGAGAUCAGAGGGACUAAAAUGUCAAGCCUAGGGCAGGCAGGAGCAGCAGAAGUUGUUUGGUUUCAUUUGGGGGGUUGAUUUCUGCUGGGGCGAAGCAGCCAGUUCUCUGAAAGAGUGGGGUUGAAGAGCAGCUCAGAAGGGCUGGCCGGUGUUAUUUGGUGACCAGUAUUGGGGAGUGUGAUGAUGCCAAAGGGGGGGGACUUUAGUGAUGGCCUGAGGCCCCAAUCACCAGACCACAGCAGCCCAAGGAUAUGAGGAGGCAGAAGUGUCCCAGUGCUGAGUCUUGCUACAAGGAGUUGCUCCAGGAUGCCCAGGUCUUAAUGCCCUCCCAUCACAGCCUCCUGAUUGAUGAUCUUCCUGGCCACAUUUGCAUGCACAGGACUCUCGGUGCCCGCACAGGACUGCGGGGGCAGAAGAUUGGAACGUAUCCUCCCAGCCCUUAGGAACAAGUCUCCGAGUCAACCAACACUAGUUCCAACCACUGAAUCCUUCUCCCGGAGAUGCACAGAGGUCACUCUGGGAAGCCACAAUGCAAGUGCUGGGUGGUGUCUAACAAAAGCCCAGUGCUAUGGACUGCAGCUCAGCACCAAACACGCCAGUCACUGCCACAUGUGCUAAAGGAUUCACUCCAUUAGCUGGAAACAGUUCCAGGCUCUUAUCCCCGUGGGGUUCUGCCACUAAAGGGGGAAGCAAUACCCUUAUUCAAUGUGUUGUGUGUCCCUGGCACCAGCUUUUCCUAGUACAUAAUUCUGAUACCUUCCCAGAUGAUGCUGCAGAGGGGCAAGUCCGUGCCCUGCUGCUGUGCCCACAAAGCGAUACCUUCACACCAUAUUCUAAUUGGGGGAAGUGUUUCCUGGGAUGACGUUUCUGCUGGGCUGUACUGAGUCAGAAGAUGGCCACGCCGCCCUGUGUCCUAGCAUUGCAUGCCUAGCCCCAGGGUUGCAUGUGCAAGGGGACUAGUGAGGGUAGAGAAGAGCAGGAUUCAAUGAGGUAUGCUGGAGCAAAUCAUGGAGGGUUUUAGGAACAGGGCAGUUUGAAUAGGACCCUGGAGUGAAGGUCCACUGCACUCGUACAGGGACAGGAGUGAUGGGGUUGCACUUGCACCUGUGAGAAAAUGGGCACGAGCACAACAGAUGCAAGACUCCACCCAGGGAAGCUGCAGAAAGUCCCCACUGAGAUGAGAGCUGGUGGUGGUGGAGGCUGUAGGGAAGGUGUAUGUGAUGGGA